rnacentral:lncRNA from 1 species
GCCUGGGCCUGGGCCUGGGCGGAGGGAUCCCCGGGCUGAGGCGGCGGAGGUGCUGCGGCCCGGGGCCGGGUGGUGAAUGGGCUGGUGGUGCUCGCUGCUGCUGCUGCUGCUGCUGGGAGGAGGAGGAGGAGGAGGAGGAGAAGGAGGAGUGGGGGGGAGGAGGAAGAAGAAGAAGAAGAAGGAGAAGAAGAAGAAGAAGAAGAGUUGGGCUGGUUGGUCUCUCACAGUUAGUCUCCCGCUGCUCGGGUUCUCCUCCGCCCGCCCCCUCCUCUCACUUCGGCCCCGGGCCUCUGUGAGAGGAGAACUUACCUAG